CUGCUUCAGCCAUCCCAAGAAGGGAUCAUGAUGACUUCCCUGCAAAACAAAACUUAGCCAUCAAAAUUUCUUCCAUGCACAGGCAGCAGCAGACACCCUUGUCCAUACUCUGCUUUUCCAGUUCUCAAGAAGAGAAGACAAUGGAAAACAGAAGAAGGCCAAAAAAAUGAGGCCAUCAACAGCUUCCCUGACAAGUGCCCGUAAGAUUGCAGACUCAACAGACUCCAGUGGUGCCCUGACUGCCUGGCUGGCUGGCAAAAUCUGUCCCUGGAGGUCUAUUUAUGGCACCUUGUAGCCUAUACCUAGAUUGGGGGACUGCACUGAUCCAAGACAGAGAGGUGACCUAUUCAAGUAAAUUACCAGGGAAAAAAAUAAUAUAUAUAUAAAUGGUUCACACUUUGUUUUCUGCAAAUCAGUCCCUCUGGACUUCAGUAGCUAGCCAAAAUCCAGUCCCCAAAGUUACUUCUAUUAAAAGGAGAAACUAAUGACAGAAUCACGUGUAUCUUUGAUACAAACCCAUCUGCUUACAUACAACACAGAAUCCUUUUACCUGCAACAAGGUAAGAACAAAUUAUGGUUCUCAUCCAAAAUUAGC